CCUACGGGUGGCAGCAGUGGGGAAUAUUGGGCAAUGGACGCAAGUCUGACCCAGCAACGCCGCGUGAAGGAAGAAGGUACUUAGUAUUGUAAACUUCUUUUGUCGGGGAACAAAGGCGGAGACGCGUCUCCGGCUGAGUGUACCCGACGAAAAAGCAUCGGCUAACUCCGUGCCAGCAGCCGCGGUAAUACGGAGGAUGCGAGCGUUAUCCGGAUUUAUUGGGUUUAAAGGGUGCGCAGGCGGGAGAUCAAGUCAGCGGUAAAAUGUCGGGGCUCAACCCCGGCCGGCCGUUGAAACUGGUGUUCGAGAGUGGGAGAGAAGUAGGCGGAAUUCGUGGUGUAGCGGUGAAAUGCAUAGAUAUCACGAAGAACUCCGAUUGCGAAGGCAGCAUACCGGAUCCAGACUGACGCUGAGGCACGAAAGCGUGGGGAUCGAACAGGAUUAGAUACCCCGGUAGUC
rnacentral:rRNA from 1 species